rnacentral:rRNA from 1 species
UGGGGAAUAUUGGACAAUGGGGGAAACCCUGAUCCAGCGACGCCGCGUGUGUGAAGAAGGCCUGCGGGUUGUAAAGCACUUUUAGUGGGGAUGAAAAGCCAACGGUUAAUACCUGUUGGUCUUGACCUAACCCACAGAAAAAGCACCGGCUAACUCUGUGCCAGCAGCCGCGGUAAUACAGAGGGUGCAAGCGUUAAUCGGAAUUACUGGGCGUAAAGCGUGCGUAGACGGUUAUUUAAGUCAGGUGUGAAAGCCCCGGGCUCAACCUGGGAAUUGCAUUUGAGACUGAAUAGCUAGGGUGCGGAAGAGGGAAGCGGAAUUUCCGGUGUAGCGGUGAAAUGCGUAGAUAUCGGAAGGAACACCAGUGGCGAAAGCGGCUUCCUGGUCCAGCACCGACGUUCAGGCACGAAAGCGUGGGGAGCAAACA